AGAGUUUGAUCAUGGCUCAGGACGAACGCUGGCGGCACGCUUAACACAUGCAAGUCGAACGAGAGAAGAGGAGCUUGCUUUUCUGAUCUAGUGGCGGACGGGUGGGUAACACGUGAGCAAUCUGCCUUUCAGAGGGGGAUACCGAUUGGAAACGAUCGUUAAUACCGCAUAACAUAAUUGAACCGCAUGAUUUGAUUAUCAAAGAUUUAUCGCUGAAAGAUGAGCUCGCGUCUGAUUAGCUAGUUGGUAAGGUAACGGCUUACCAAGGCGACGAUCAGUAGCCGGACUGAGAGGUUGAUCGGCCACAUUGGGACUGAGACACGGCCCAGACUCCUACGGGAGGCAGCAGUGGGGAAUAUUGCACAAUGGAGGAAACUCUGAUGCAGCGAUGCCGCGUGAGGGAAGAAGGUUUUAGGAUUGUAAACCUCUGUCUUCAGGGACGAAAAAAGACGGUACCUGAGGAGGAAGCUCCGGCUAACUACGUGCCAGCAGCCGCGGUAAUACGUAGGGAGCGAGCGUUGUCCGGAAUUACUGGGUGUAAAGGGAGCGUAGGCGGGAUCGCAAGUCAGAUGUGAAAACUAUGGGCUUAACCCAUAAACUGCAUUUGAAACUGUGGUUCUUGAGUGAAGUAGAGGUAAGCGGAAUUCCUAGUGUAGCGGUGAAAUGCGUAGAUAUUAGGAGGAACAUCAGUGGCGAAGGCGGCUUACUGGGCUUUAACUGACGCUGAGGCUCGAAAGCGUGGGGAGCAAACAGGAUUAGAUACCCUGGUAGUCCACGCCGUAAACGAUGAUUACUAGGUGUGGGGGGACUGACCCCUUCCGUGCCGCAGCAAACGCAAUAAGUAAUCCACCUGGGGAGUACGACCGCAAGGUUGAAACUCAAAGGAAUUGACGGGGGCCCGCACAAGCAGUGGAGUAUGUGGAUUAAUUCGAAGCAACGCGAAGAACCUUACCAGGUCUUGACAUCGUAUGCAUAGCUCAGAGAUGAGUGAAAUCUCUUCGGAGACAUAUAGACAGGUGGUGCAUGGUUGUCGUCAGCUCGUGUCGUGAGAUGUUGGGUUAAGUCCCGCAACGAGCGCAACCCUUACUGUUAGUUGCUACGCAAGAGCACUCUAGCAGGACUGCCGUUGACAAAACGGAGGAAGGUGGGGAUGACGUCAAAUCAUCAUGCCCCUUAUGACCUGGGCCUCACACGUACUACAAUGGCUGUCAACAGAGGGAAGCAAAGCCGCGAGGUGGAGCGAACCCCUAAAAGCAGUCUUAGUUCGGAUUGUAGGCUGCAACCCGCCUACAUGAAGUCGGAAUUGCUAGUAAUCGCAGAUCAGCAUGCUGCGGUGAAUACGUUCCCGGGCCUUGUACACACCGCCCGUCACGCCAUGGGAGUCGGUAACACCCGAAGCCUGUAGUCUAACCGCAAGGAGGACGCAGUCGAAGGUGGGAUUGAUGACUGGGGUGAAGUCGUAACAAGGUA
rnacentral:rRNA from 1 species